rnacentral:rRNA from 1 species
UAAUACCGCAUACGCUCUUUAUGCCGCAUGGUGUAGAGAGGAAAGAUUUAUCGGUGAAAGAUGGAUCCGCGUCUGAUUAGCCAGUUGGCGGGGUAACGGCCCACCAAAGCGACGAUCAGUAGCCGGCCUGAGAGGGCGGACGGCCACAUUGGGACUGAGACACGGCCCAGACUCCUACGGGAGGCAGCAGUGGGGGAUAUUGCACAAUGGGCGCAAGCCAGGGGCAGCGACGCCGCGUGAGUGAAGAAGUAUUUC